AGAAUUUGAUCUUGGUUCAGGAUGAACGCUGGCGGCGUGCCUAACACAUGCAAGUCGAACGGAGCUUACUUCGAAGGAGACUUCGGUCAACGGAAGGGUAAGCUUAGUGGCGGACGGGUGAGUAACGCGUGGAGAACCUGCCCUGUACAGGGGGAUAACAGUGAGAAAUCACUGCUAAUACCGCAUAAGCGCACAGUACCGCAUGGUACAGUGUGAAAAACUCCGGUGGUACAGGAUGGCUCCGCGUUGGAUUAGCCAGUUGGCGGGUAACGGCCCACCAAAGCGACGAUCCAUAGCCGGCCUGAGAGGGUGAACGGCCACAUUGGGACUGAGACACGGCCCAGACUCCUACGGGAGGCAGCAGUGGGGAAUAUUGCACAAUGGGGGAAACCCUGAUGCAAGCGACGCCGCGUGAAGGAAGAAGUAUCUCGGUAUGUAAACUUCUAUCAGUAGGGAAGAUGAUGACGGUACCUGACUAAGAAGCCCCGGCUAACUACGUGCCAGCAGCUGC
rnacentral:rRNA from 1 species